GACGAACGCUGGCGGCGUGCUUAACACAUGCAAGUCGAGCGGUAAGGCCCUUUCGGGGGUACACGAGCGGCGAACGGGUGAGUAACACGUGGGUGACCUGCCCUCAGCUCUGGGAUAAGCCUGGGAAACCGGGUCUAAUACUGGAUAUGACUCCAUGACGCAUGUUGUGGGGUGGAAAGCCUUGUGCGGCUGAGGAUGGGCCCGCGGCCUAUCAGCUUGUUGGUGGGGUGAUGGCCUACCAAGGCGACGACGGGUAGCCGGCCUGAGAGGGCGACCGGCCACACUGGGACUGAGACACGGCCCAGACUCCUACGGGAGGCAGCAGUGGGGAAUCUUGCGCAAAUGGGCGAAAAGCCUGACGCAGCGACGCCGCGUGAGGGAUGAACGGCCU
rnacentral:rRNA from 1 species